rnacentral:rRNA from 1 species
UACGUAGGGUGCAAGCGUUGUCCGGAAUUAUUGGGCGUAAAGUGCUCGUAGGCGGUUUGUCGCGUCGGGAGUGAAAAUCCAGGGCUUAACUCUGGACUGGCUUCCGAUACGGGCAGACUAGAGGUAUGCAGGGGAGAACGGAAUUCCUGGUGUAGCGGUGAAAUGCGCAGAUAUCAGGAGGAACACCGGUGGCGAAGGCGGUUAUCUGGGCAUUACCUGACGCUGAGGAGCGAAAGUGUGGGGAGCGAACAGG